rnacentral:rRNA from 1 species
AACGAACGCUGGCGGCAGGCUUAACACAUGCAAGUCGAGCGCCCCGCAAGGGGAGCGACAGACGGGUGAGUAACGCGUGGGAGUCUACCCAUCUCUACGGAAUAACGCAUGGAAACGUGUGCUAAUACCGUAUACGUCCUUCGGGAGAAAGAUAUAUCGGAGAUGGAUGAGCCCGCGUUGGAUUAGCUAGUUGGUGGGGUAAAGGCCUACCAAGGCGACGAUCCAUAGCUGGUCUGAGAGGAUGAUCAGCCACACUGGGACUGAGACACGGCCCAGACUCCUACGGGAGGCAGCAGUGGGGAAUAUUGGACAAUGGGCGCAAGCCUGAUCCAGCCAUGCCGCGUGAGUGAUGAAGGCCCUAGGGUUGUAAAGCUCUUUCACCGGUGAAGAUAAUGACGGUAACCGGAGAAGAAGCCCCGGCUAACUUCGUGCCAGCAGCCGCAGUAAAAC